rnacentral:rRNA from 1 species
UGGGGAAUUUUCCGCAAUGGGCGGAAAGCCUGACGGGAGCAAUGCCGCGUGGAGGUGGAAGGCCUACGGGUCGUCAACUUCUUUUCUCGGAGAAGAAACAAUGACGGUAUCUGAGGAAUAAGCAUCGGCUAACUCUGUGCCAG